AUCACUUCUCGGCCUUUUGGCUAAGAUCAAGUGUAGUAUCUGUUCUUAUCAUUUGCUUCUGGCUAGUUCACAUAGUGGAACACCACUACUUCCAACUACAGUUAUAUUUGGAUAUAAAAUCUUUUAAGUAGAUCGGGUUGGUUAGGAUUAGGACCCUGGGCACAGUCCUACUUCA
rnacentral:snRNA from 1 species